UUGGGCGUAAGAGAUGCGUAGGUGGUCGGUAAAGUUUUUGGUGAAAUCCCCGGGCUCAACCCGGGAACUGCCAAGAAUACUCACCGACUUCGAGGGAAUCAGGGGGUACUGGAACUCGUGGUGUAGUAGUAAUAUGCGUUGAUAUCACGAGGAACACCAAAGGCGAAGGCAGGUACCUGGGAUUCUCCUGACACUAAGGCUCGAAAGCGUGGGGAGCGAAACGGAUUAGAUACCCGUGUAGUCCACGCCGUAAACGAUGGAUACUAGAUGCUUGGGGUAUUGACCCCCUGGGCGUCGCAAGCUAACGCGUUAAGUAUCCCGCCUGGGGAGUACGGUCGCAAGACUAAAACUCAAAGGAAUUGACGGGGAACCGCACAAGCGGUGGAGCGCGUGGUUUAAUUCGAUGCUAAGCGAAGAACCUCACCGAGGUUUGACAUGCUACUGCUAAGCCUAUGAAAGUAGGCCUCCUUCGAGGGUGUAGCACAGGUGUUGCACGGCUGUUGUCAGCUCGUGUCGUGAGAUGUCUGCUUAAGUGCUUUAACGAGCGCAACCCCUGCGAUAAGUUGUAUCACUCUUAUCGGACUGCCUGUAUCAUAUACAGGAGGAAGGCGGGGAUGACUUCAAGUCUGC
rnacentral:rRNA from 1 species